rnacentral:misc_RNA from 1 species
GAGAGGAACACCACAGAUUCUGAUAUUCUUCUCAGUUUUAAGUUACCCAAACCCAAGAUUAUUCGACCUAAGAUUGAGAGCAACACCAGAGGUUCUGAUUUUCUACCUUUUAAGGGACCCAAGGUUGGUCCUAUUCAAAGAUUUCCUCUGAACAUUAACGACUCUGAUCCUUGUGCAUCUUAUAUAGCCACUGCAAAUUCCAAGAUUUCUGGUAACAACAAUCAACAUUUCCUCGGCUCAAAUCAAGAAUCUGCAGAAGAGGAUUCAGUUGGUCCAAUAGGCAAUGAUCCAUAUGUAGAACUCAAUAUGGGGAAGGAUUUAAGGUCAUUCGUAUCGCCUGAAACUAGCAUGAGUUCUGAUUAUGGCACUGCAGUGUACUCGUCGUCUGCUUCUAAAAGUUCUAGCACGAAUUCUGGGGCUGGGCCUAUUGAUUUUGAUGCUGGAUUUUACUUUCAUAUUUGAUUUAAU